CUUCAUGCCUUUUUGGGUCUUAUCACAUACUGCAGGUCCUGGAUACCAGAAGCAUCAAAACUCAUGCAGCCACUCUAUGAUGCCCUCAGGAGUGAGCCCUUCCACCUUACUGAAGAAACCAUCACCUGUUUCCACAAUCUGAAAAGAGCUAUUGCUUCUGCACCCGCGUUGGGCCUACCCAACUACCAGCUACCUUUCAAUCUGUUUGUCUCUGAAAAGUCAGGACAUGCUUCCGGAGUCCUUACCCAGAAACAUGGCUCAAGACAACGACCUAUUGGCUAUUUUUCCUGCAUGCUUGACCCUGUUGCGAGGGGUAGUCCCUCCUGCCUCAGGGCUGUGUUUUCUGCCAGCGCCCUCCUGGACAAAACUAAUGAUUUUGUUCUUGGUCACCACCUCACGGUGUUGGCUCCUCAUGACAUUACUGCAAUCCUGCAACAAGUUCAACCUAAGCACCUUUCAUCCCAACGUCACCUCCGUCUACAAACCUCCUUACUUUUACCUGACAAUGUGAAACUUCAGAGAUGUCUUUCCCUGAACCCAGCCACUCUUCUGCCACUUCCCAAGGGGGGAGUUGUGCAUUACUGGUACAGUCUGGACAUCAACCCAAAGGUUCGGGCAGAUUUGUAGCUGCCUGCGCAUGCACCCCCACAUGAUGAACAAUCAGAGGCCCUACUUCACUGUACCUUAUGGUUUAAGGACAUACCAGGCCCUGAUAUGAACUAUGAAGAAGAACUAUUCCAGCUCAAGGAAAUUCAAAUUACCCUGACUGACUUAUUCUGGGACCCCACAGGUACCAUGCUCAUCUUAGUCCAUCUUCCAGAGAAUGUGACACAUCUCUAUCAUCAUUGGGAAACAGCUAUCCCACACAUAUCUCUCACCAGAUCCCCCGAUACCUAAUGGAAAGAUCUAGGCCCGAUGGCCAAAACCUGGAGUCAAAUGAACCAAGAACAACUGACUUCUACGGGGAUCAACAAAAAGACUAUUAAUUACUGUACGGCAGGGUACCCAAGGUACCACACAGAAGCCCGUGAAGACCCACUCAUCACAGACUGUGACUUAGAUAUUCCUCAUGAUUGUUUUGAACAAAUGAAAAUGGAAACUACACACCUACCAACUGUCUAUGAAGCUGCACUACUCAACCCGGACCAAACACUAUUUGUGGACGGGUCAAGAUUUGCUGAUGAACAGGGACAAUAUCACACUGGGUAUGCAGUCACCACAGGAUGUCAAGUAUUACACGCAGCUGCCCUACAACCAAC